rnacentral:rRNA from 1 species
CCUACGGGAGGCAGCAGUGGGGAAUAUUGGACAAUGGGCGAAAGCCUGAUCCAGCCAUGCCGCGUGUGUGAAGAAGGCCUUCGGGUUGUAAAGCACUUUCAGUGGGGAAGAAAGCCUUGGGGCUAAUACCCUCGAGGAAGGACAUCACCCACAGAAGAAGCACCGGCUAACUCCGUGCCAGCAGCCGCGGUAAUACGGAGGGUGCGAGCGUUAAUCGGAAUUACUGGGCGUAAAGCGCGCGUAGGCGGUCUGAUAAGCCGGUUGUGAAAGCCCCGGGCUCAACCUGGGAACGGCAUCCGGGACUGUCAGGCUAGAGUGCAGGAGAGGAAGGUAGAAUUCCCGGUGUAGCGGUGAAAUGCGUAGAGAUCGGGAGGAAUACCAGUGGCGAAGGCGGUCUUCUGGACUGACACUGACGCUGAGGUGCGAAAGCGUGGGUAGCAAACAGGAUUAGAUACCCCAGUAGUC